rnacentral:rRNA from 1 species
UACGUAGGGGGCAAGCGUUGUCCGGAAUCAUUGGGCGUAAAGAGCGUGUAGGCGGUCCGGUCAGUCGGUUGUGAAAGUCAAGGGCUCAACCCUUGAAUGCCGGCCGAUACUGCCGGGCUAGAGUCCGGAAGAGGUGAGUGGAAUUCCUGGUGUAGCGGUGAAAUGCGCAGAUAUCAGGAGGAACACCGAUGGCGAAGGCGGCAUCCUGGACCAACACUGACACUGAGGAACGAAAGCCAGGGGAGCAAACGGG